rnacentral:rRNA from 1 species
UACAGAGGUCUCAAGCGUUGUUCGGAUUCAUUGGGCGUAAAGAGCUCGUAGGCGGUGUGUCACGUCGGCCGUGAAAACCUGGGGCUUAACUCUGGGCGUGCGGUCGAUACGGGCAUCACUAGAGUUCGGCAGGGGAGACUGGAAUUCCUGGUGUAGCGGUGAAAUGCGCAGAUAUCAGGAGGAACACCGGUGGCGAAGGCGGGUCUCUGGGCCGUAACUGACGCUGAGGAGCGAAAGCAUGGGGAGCGAACAGG